rnacentral:rRNA from 1 species
AUGAAAAAUAUUGGAGAAAAGAAAUACCAUAGGGGCCACCCAGGUGCCCACAAAGCACUAGAGCGCGCCCACCCCCGUAGGCGUGCCUUGGUGGCUUGUGGGGCCCCUGGCCAGCCUCCGGUGACCAUCUUCUGGUAUAUAAGCCCAUUUUCCCUAGAAAAAAUAAGGAGAAAACUUUCGGGACGGAGCACCGACGUCUCGAGGCGCAACUUGGGCAGGAGCACUUUUGCUCUCCGGUGGAGCGAUUCCGCCGGGGAUACUUCUCUCCGGGAGGGGGAAAUCGAAGCCAUCGUCAUCACCAACAACCCUCUCAUCAUGGGAGGACCAAUCUUCAUCAACAUCUUCACCAACACCAUCUUAUCUCAAAUGCUAGUUCAUCUCUUGUAUUCAAUCUUUGUAUCAAAACCUCAGAUUGGUACCUGUGGGUUGCUAGUAGUGUUGAUUACAUCUUGUAGUUGA